rnacentral:rRNA from 1 species
UAGUAACUGCGAGUGAAGAGGGAAAAGCUCAAAUUUAAAAUCUGGCGGGCUCUGCUCGUCCGAGUUGUAAUCUGGAGAAGCGUUUUCCGCGUCGGACCGUGCAUAAGUCUCCUGGAACGGAGCGUCAUAGAGGGUGAGAAUCCCGUCCAUGGCACGGACCGCCGAUGCUUUGUGAUACGUUUUCAAAGAGUCGAGUUGUUUGGGAAUGCAGCUCAAAACGGGUGGUAAAUUCCAUCUAAAGCUAAAUAUUGGCGAGAGACCGAUAGCGAACAAGUACCGUGAGGGAAAGAUGAAAAGCACUUUGGAAAGAGAGUUAAACAGUACGUGAAAUUGUUGAAAGGGAAACGCUUGAAGUCAGUCGCGUCCGACGGAACUCAGCCUUGCUUCGGCCUGGUGUACUUUCUGUCGGACGGGUCAACAUCAGUUUUGACCGGUGGAAAAAGGUAGGGGGAAUGUAGCGCCGUUUCGGCGGCGUGUUAUAGCCCCUUGCUGUAUGCAUCGGUCGGGACUGAGGACCGCAGCACGCCUUUUUGGCCGGGGGUUCGCCCUACGUACCGUGCUUAGGAUGUUGGCAUAAUGGCUUUAAGCGACCCGUCUUGAAACACGGACCAAGGAGUCCAACAUGCUUGCGAGUGUUCGGGUGGAAAACCCUUGCGCGCAAUGAAAGUAACAGUUGGGAACCUCCGCAAGGGGGUGCACCGACGCCCGGCCCUGACGUUCUCUGACGGUGCUGCGGUAGAGCAAGUAUGCUGGGACCCGAAAGAUGGUGAACUAUGCCUGAAUAGGGCGAAGCCAGAGGAAACUCUGGUGGAGGCUCGUAGCGAUUCUGACGUGC